GACGAACGCUGGCGGCGUGCUUAACACAUGCAAGUCGAACGGAAAGGCCCUGCUUUUGUGGGGUGCUCGAGUGGCGAACGGGUGAGUAACACGUGAGUAACCUGCCCUUGACUUUGGGAUAACUUCAGGCAACUGGGGCUAAUACCGGCUAGGAGCUCCUGCUGCAUGGUGGGGGUUGGAAAGUUUCGGCGGUUGGGGAUGGACUCGCGGCUUAUCAGCUUGUUGGUGGGGUAGUGGCUUACCAAGGCUUUGACGGGUAGCCGGCCUGAGAGGGUGACCGGCCACAUUGGGACUGAGAUACGGCCCAGACUCCUACGGGAGGCAGCAGUGGGGAAUAUUGCACAAUGGGCGGAAGCCUGAUGCAGCAACGCCGCGUGCGGGAUGACGGCCUUCGGGUUGUAAACCGCUUCCGCCUGUGACGAAGCGUGAGUGACGGUAAUGGGUAAAGAAGCACCGGCUAACUACGUG
rnacentral:rRNA from 1 species